CAGAGUUGCAAAACUCCACAAACCCUUGCGAACGUACCAGAAGUCGUGCUUCGGCGGAGGCUCCUCAGGACCCGCCGGAGGGAAGUACCAGACUCUUGGUUAUUUGGCAUCUCUGAGUAUGCUUAUAAAUAAGUUA
rnacentral:misc_RNA from 1 species